rnacentral:rRNA from 1 species
AGAGUUUGAUCCUGGCUCAGGAUGAACGCUGGCGGCGUGCAUAAGACAUGCAAGUCGAACGGGUUUAGACCCGUGGCGAACGGGUGAGUAACGCGUGGGAACUUCCAUUAAGUUUGGGAUAUCCUUCCGAAAGGGAGAGCAAUACCAAAUGUGGUCGCAAGACUAAAGAUUUAUCGCUUAAUGCAAGGCCCGCGUCCCAUCAGCUAGUUGGUAGGGUAAAAGCCUACCAAGGCUAUGACGGGUAGCGGAACCGAGAGGUUGAUCCGCCACACUGGGACUGCGACACGGCCCAGACUCCUACGGGAGGCAGCAGUUUGGAAUUUUGGACAAUGGGCGAAAGCCUGAUCCAGCGACGCCGCGUGCACGAAGAAGGCCUUCGGGUUGUAAAGUGCUUUUAGCAGGGAAAAAUUUGGAUGUACCUGCAGAAUAA